UACGUAGGGGGCAAGCGUUGUUCGGAUUCAUUGGGCGUAAAGGGUGCGUAGGCGGCGCGGUAAGUCGGGUGUGAAAUCUCGGAGCUUAACUCCGAAACUGCAUUCGAUACUGCCGUGCUUGAGGACUGGAGAGGAGACUGGAAUUCCCGGUGUAGUGGUGAAAUGCGUAGAUAUCGGGAGGAACACCAGUGGCGAAGGCGACUUCCUGGCCUGUUCUUGACGCUGAGGCGCGAAAGCUAGGGGAGCAAACGGG
rnacentral:rRNA from 1 species